CUUCAGCGAGCCGAUCAGCACGGGCCGGUCCGCCGCGCGGUCCUUCCCGUACGUGGCGAGCAGCGCGCCCGCCUC
rnacentral:antisense_RNA from 1 species